rnacentral:tRNA from 1 species
CAGGGAGACAACAAAAUGUUUAAUAUUAUUAUUUUGUCACCUUAGGUCGAUCGGUAUCUCACGUUUUUAAUUUAUUAAGAAUUUCAUUUCCUAAGUUUUUCUAGGUCACACCCAUUAUUUUUCCUGGGCCAUUAGCUCAGGUGGUUAGAGCGCACCCCUGAUAAGGGUGAGGUCCCUGGUUCAAGUCCAGGAUGGCCCAUAUCUCUAUGUUGGGGGUAUAGCUCAGUUGGUAGAGCGCCUGCUUUGCAAGCAGGAUGUCAGCGGUUCGAGUCCGCUUACCUCCACUGAUUACCACCUCUUCCAUAACCGGUAGAAAGGAAAUGUUUUGAGUUGUGAUCAAAUUCUGGAAGAAUCUAGCUUCCUAAUGAAAUCAUUAAGAUGCUGGACUCAUUGAAUUAAUUUCAUUGUUUUCAGAGAACCUUGACAACUGCAUAGAUUAUUUUUAAAGACAAUUAGCAUCUUUAAUGAUGCAGAUUUAUUAUUUGUGCAAAUGCAUUAAUAACAAUUCUAUUAAGCUGAUGCUUCAAUUUUUGAAGUUAUU